rnacentral:rRNA from 1 species
GACGAACGCUGGCGGCGUGCUUAACACAUGCAAGUCGAACGGAAAGGCCCUGCUUUUGUGGGGUGCUCGAGUGGCGAACGGGUGAGUAACACGUGAGUAACCUGCCCUUGACUUUGGGAUAACUUCAGGAAACUGGGGCUAAUACCGGAUAGGAGCUCCUGCUGCAUGGUGGGGGUGGGAAAGUUUCGGCGGUUGGGGAUGGACUCGCGGCUUAUCAGCUUGUUGGUGGGGUAGUGGCUUACCAAGGCUUUGACGGGUAGCCGGCCUGAGAGGGUGACCGGCGACAUUGGGACUGAGAUACGGCCCAGACGCCUACGGGAGGCAGCAGUGGGGAGUAUUGCACAAUGGGCGGAAGCCUGAUGCAGAAACGCCGCGUGCGGGAUGACGGCCUUCGGGUUGUAAACCGCUUUCGCCUGUGACGAAGCGGGAGUGACGGUAAUGGGUAAAGAAGCACCGGCUAACUACGUG